CAUUAAAUAGUUUUCAAAACAUUUACUUUGGAUGUAAAAAUAAUCACAUACUAAUCA
rnacentral:tRNA from 1 species